UUUUAAGAUAACAGUUUAUCGAGAUAAAUCGAGAAUGUUAUAUCUAAUUUUUUAUCAAAAAUUAUAGUCAAAAUACGAAGACUAAGAAUCAUAUAUACAAAUUUAUCUCGAGUAACUUAUAGAAUUUUAUUUCUUUUCUACUGUUUCGUACGCGUCAGUUGUUACAUUUUGAGUCUAACAGUCUACCGUUUCGAAGUGCAACUGAUUGCGUGACGAAAACAAUUUUCAACUGGAAUUAUACGUAGACGAGAGGGAUAGGUUUCGCAGAAGUAUGCAGCGUUUCUUAUCGUCCCUAGCUGUAAUGUCAACGCGACAGAAUUUUACCCGUGUUAUCAGCGAUUCGCGCGAAAGUGCACGCAUGCGCAUCGUUUUGUAUAACAUUGCCCCUAGUUUUACCCAUAAUCCUCCUCAUCAUGUUCCUAGAAACUUGCAGAAGUUCUAUGAAGGUACUCAUUCAUUGAAACCACCAGUAAUUUUCGUAAGUUAAUCGACUAGAUGAACUUCUUAGUUUGAGUGAAUUAUUUUCUGCGGAUCUGUAGGAAUUAUUCGGAUAAAAAUCUUUGUGUCUUAUGGAAGAAUGAUUAUGUCAAAAUGUAUAAGCUCUAACGUCUCAACGUUUUAUCGUGGUAAUAAACAAAGCGGCAUAAAGAAUUUAAAAAAGAAAGAAAUAAGAAAAGCAAAGUAGGGAAGAAAAAAGAUUCAAAAAGAAGUAGGAGCAAAGAGAAGUAACGCAAAGUUACCGCAGAAGAGGUUUUCAGUAAUGAAAAAAAGUCAGUGUAAAGAGCACAGGAUGAUACCUAUGAACUUUACGUACGUUUAUUUGAACUAAAUUUAACGUGAUGAAAAAAUGAUUUAUGACGAGAUUUUGCAAUUUACUCAAGUUUCGGUCAAUUCGUUCAUCGGCAUGCUCUAUCAUAACUUCGUCGCUUGACCGAUUUUACGACUUCCCUGCAACAUGGAGGCGCUACCGUACCUUAAUUAUACCGAUCAUUAGCAUCAUCAUACUCAAUCCCUGCUCAACAUAGCGUAAAAUGAAUCAAUUUCCAACGUCACUUUACACUCCGUUAACCACGCUCGAUUUAACGCUGCGUUUAACUUAUUGAAAUUCAUAUCGGUCAAGCUAUGAAGUCAUUAACGAUUGAAAUGCCAGUUCUUAUAGUUUUCAACGAUGCAAUAUUCAGAUAAAUCUCGACAUGAACGGGACAAGAAUUGGUCGAUGUGCUGUCGCACAGAUGUCCGAAAGGAUUACGAAACAGCUACAAGUAUCGCUGGAACGUUUAUAGUUUCCCCCAUUGUGCUGUCUUUCCGCUAUGGGAUUCCCGUGUCCAACCGGCCGAGGGAGGACAUCACUUUGAGAGGCAAAGAUCGAGGAAAACCGGUUCAGGACCUGCCGGCUCUAUUAUGCUCCCGUACCGGUAUCCUCGGUGUACCUCCAACAGGCUAAUUCAUAACUUAUAACGCGAGAAUUUCGACUCGAAUCCCUUUGAAAAGUCCUUCGAGGGUCUUUCUAGGGUUCUUCGAACCCAUGUUAUUUUAACCUAUGUAUGUAUGUGAAACUUGAAACUUAGGAGAUUAGUUGCGUUGAAAGUACACAUUUUCAAUGUUGGUUAUCCUUAACAUGUUGAAUGCCAUGGGGGUCACCGGUGACCGGCGCAACAAGAUUAUUAGAAAUACAUAAUUUGAACAAAUGUUAAUAGUUAUACAUUUGUUAUUAUUACCAUCGUUACUUCAAUAAUGUGACGAAAUUAAUGCAAUAUAAAACAUAUAAAAAUAGUUUUAUUUGUACAUAAAAUAUAGAUCUAUUAUGUGUGCCCCCCACCAAUGGCUGUUGAACACAGGAAAAACCCCCUUUUUCCAUGUUUUACUUUAAUGAAUAAUAAGCCUAAGGAAUGUUUCGACUUGAAAGAUGUUUGAUGGCAUUUAAGGGCCUUGACAGUAAAGCAAAAAAUGCUAAAUCUUGUGACGGUUCCUUAGGAUUAUUGCGGGUCCGAACAAGUAUGACCCGGAACGUAACAACAUGGAACAAUUAUUUAGCAAUCCGAAGAAACAAUAUGAGAUAAUUGAUAAUCGUAAAAGGUAAUAAUAAAAAAUUCCUCGUGGCGCCAUGGCCAAACAUUGUAAAACUGGCAUGGCAUUCAACGUGUUAAGCACACAUAAAUCAGUACAAGGUUAUGAAUUAGAAGGAAUCUAAAGAUCUAUGAGACGUAGAUUGAUGAACUUGAAGAUAUUACUCUUCGAAAUUAUGAAUUAUUAAAGAUUCAGAAUUGGGUAAGUAAUAUAAAUGUAUCCAUAAAAUUUAACUAAAUUGAACAAUUUACGAAAUAACCUGGAAUUUUAAUUUAGAUUAAGCCAUACGUGAGCGUGUAUGUACAUAACAUUGAUUUCAAGUAGUCGUUUUAUCGAAUGGAGUGUUUAGUUUAUGGUUAGUUAACACACCACUCGAGUUACCUUCUGUUCUCCUCGGUCGGAUCUUCCGGCGACGGUGGUGUCACAAUGAAUGAUGGCUCCUUAUGAAUAAUUGCUUCCGGCUGUAGGUGGAUCGUGUGUCGCUUCUGAUGGAGUUCCUUACAAGACGUUGAAGAUGAUAUGCCGUUUCUCUUUCGACGACGGCCACUGGCGCCUAGGUUUUGUAAGGUGCCCAUAGAUGGAAACCGGAAGCUCCAUGCUAUGCCUGAAGGUUAUCGAAAAGUGCGUUAUUACAUGCAAUUGCGUUUUCAGAAAUAAACAAACUCUUAACUUUCAUCGAGAA